rnacentral:tRNA from 2 species
UGCGGUGUCGCCAAGUGGUAAGGCAGCGGGCUUUGAACCCGCCAUUCCUAGGUUCGAAUCCUAGCACCGCAG